rnacentral:tRNA from 1 species
UUAAGUGUAGUUUAUAAAAAACAAUGAUCUUGUAAAUCAUAAAUAAAAAUUUAUUUCACUUAAA